GAUGAACGCUGGCGGCGUGCCUAAUACAUGCAAGUCGAGCGAACGGACGAGAAGCUUGCUUCUCUGAUGUUAGCGGCGGACGGGUGAGUAACACGUGGAUAACCUACCUAUAAGACUGGGAUAACUUCGGGAAACCGGAGCUAAUACCGGAUAAUAUUUUGAACCGCAUGGUUCAAAAGUGAAAGACGGUCUUGCUGUCACUUAUAGAUGGAUCCGCGCUGCAUUAGCUAGUUGGUAAGGUAACGGCUUACCAAGGCAACGAUGCAUAGCCGACCUGAGAGGGUGAUCGGCCACACUGGAACUGAGACACGGUCCAGACUCCGACGGGAGGCAGCAGUAGGGAAUCUUCCGCAAUGGGCGAAAGCCUGACGGAGCAACGCCGCGGGAGUGAUGAAGGUCUUCGGAUCGUAAAACUCUGUUAUUAGGGAAGAACAUAUGUGUAAGUAACUGUGCACAUCUUGACGGUACCUAAUCAGAAAGCCACGGCUAACUACGUG
rnacentral:rRNA from 1 species